rnacentral:rRNA from 1 species
AGGAAUAUUGGUCAAUGAGGGAACUCUGAACCAGCCAUCCCGCGUGUAGGAAGACGGCCUUAUGGGUUGUAAACGUACUUUUAUACAGGAAGAAACGUACCCUCGUGAGGGUGCCUGACGGUACUGUAGGAAUAAGCACCGGCUAACUCCGUGCCAGCAGCCGCGGUAAUACGGAGGUGCGAGCGUUAUCGGAUUAUGGUUAAGGCCGUAGCGAUUAUAGUCAGUGGUGAAAUCCCAUCGCUUAACGAUGGAACUGCCAUUGAUACUGUUAGUCUUGAAUGAGGGUGCAGUGGUUGGAAUGUGUAGUGUAGCGGUGAAAUGCAUAGAUAUUACACAGAACACCGAUUGCGAAGGCAGAUCACUAACCCUAAAUUGACGCUGAGGGACGAAAGCGUGGGGAGCGAACAGGAUUAGAUACCCUGUAG